CUCUCGGAUGACUUCAAGCCCUUGGUAGUGUGCACUUGUGAUGGAAAGAAGCUUCAGAGGAUUGUUCACAGAUGGCUGCAGAGGUCACUGACGAGGUCCAGAAGAGAUUACAGGACAAUCCCAGAAUGCAUUGCACAAAAUCCACUGAAGAUGGAAGAAAUGUUGAUUAUAUAUAGACGGAGCAGCUGAUCCCUCAGACGCAGAUGUGAUUCAGUGGCGCUUAAAGAAGACAACGAAUCAUGUGAGGAGCAGAGACACAAGUGAGAGAUCAACAAAAUAAAAACAAUUAUUGUUGUUCCUCUGAAACUUAAGAGUGAAUCUCAGAAAGACAUGCCAAGGUCGCAUUUCACCUCAAUUAUUUCUCAAUUAUUUCUCAAGGGCAUUCAAGGACAAGGAAGUACUUAUUUCUCUAAUGAGUCAUUUUUAUCUAGUGUAUUAUUUCUUAUAUUUCCUUUUCAAGCUAAAAACUGUAUGUUACAAAAAUUGAAAACUCCCAAUUUCAUGUUGUUUGUCUCUUGUAAAGAUGUUUGGACACCCAAGGAUGUGUAACUGUAUUUGUCAGUUUUGGAGGAGAGGAUUUUCAUGGAUUAUCAGACUCAGGCCUCGAGGACCUGUUAUUGAACAGUGAAAGUAAAGCUUCUGGAAACAAACGCUCCUCAAAAGAUCCUGAUGAUCAGAUUUGAGACUCUAAAACAUGAUUGAUGGAGAAUCAAGUAAAGCUGAGCUGCUUCAGUCUGGAGAUAUUACUGCAGUUAUUCUGACCUUUACUUGAUCAAAACCAGUCAAGAUUUGAUACAAGAAGCAUUUCUACAAUCACACUAAAAGAGCUUUUACUGGAUAAAAACUUGAACGACAACAUAACAAAGUUUGAUUAUUUUAGAGACCUUAGAAUUUAAGUCAGAUAUGAUGCAGCAGCUUUAAAGGUUCAGAGGAAAUGUUAACAAGCUAUUUUUCUCUAAAUGGAAUUGAAAAUAAAUGACGGACUCACGAGUCUGUGGGAGUCUGAGUGAUGUAUGCAAAAACUGUGGGAUGAAACGAAUGCUAAUCAUCUCCAAACUAGUGGACAAACAAACUUGGAUAAGUAUGAAUUGCAGCAUUGCAGAUAUUUAUUUCUUCCCAAAGAAAAGCAGUGAAAUAGCACUCAGGCUGAGUCCAUAAAUCAUAAAGAGUGGAGCUGAAUGUUCCAGAAGCUGCUAGGGAACUGAGGAAUGUAAAGCUCAUCUGAUUAUCUAUUUAUUACCAAACACUGGUGGAUCUGCUGUGCUUACAGUAGUGCUGAGAGCAGCGGCGUGGACUUGGACGAUCUCUCGGGCGGCUCACUUGUCACAUGCGUCCGGCUCCGUGGGUUCAAGAAGGAGCUCUGCUUUUGCUGAGGAUUGAUGAGAUGAUACGGAUUGAUCUCACGCCGUCGUGUCCUACUGGACGGCAAGCCGGUGGAGACAAUGGUGCUGGAGAAAGCAGUAGUUCAGGCAAAAAUAAACCUGCUGUUUCAGACUGAAACUGUACAAACAGACAUGAAUGCAGACGCUUCAGUCUACUGCGUGCAUGAUCAGUUUCAUGCGGUUUUGUGAAUGUCGUGAUGCAUUUCAUUCACUCUCUUUCAGCUCAGCUACUGUCUUCACAAGUAGUGCGAGUUAUGAAAUAAUAGUAUGCAUUGUACUGUAAUGUAUUACUUUUAAAAGUAACUUUCCCCAACACUUAUCUUCACAGAGCUACAGUUAAACUGUUGAAAUGUUUAUAUCUAGUAUACCUGGUUAUUAAAC